AUUCACCUAGGAGAGCAAACUCUAAACAAACCCGGGCAGGUGAGGCUCGUUACCCGUGGUAGGCAAUUCACCUAGGAGAGCAAACUCUAAACAAACCCGGGCAGGUGGAGCUCGUUAACCGUGGUAGGCAAUUCACCUAGGAGAGCAAACUCCGAACAACAAACCCGGGCAGGUGGAGCUCGUUAGCCGUGGGAGGCAAUUCACCUAGGAGAGCAAACUCCGAACAACAAACCCGGGCAGGUGGAGCUCGUUAGCCGUGGUAGGCAAUUCACCUAGGAGAGCAAACUCCGAACAACAAACCCGGGCAGGUGGAGCUCGUCAGCCGUGGUAGGCAAUCUGCCUAGGAGAGCAAACUCCGAACAAUAAACCCGGGCAGGUGGAGCUCGUCAGCCGUGGUAGGCAGUCUGCCUAGGAGAGCAAACUCCGAACAAUAAACCCGGGCAGGUGGAGCUCGUCAGCCGUGGUAGGCAAUCUGCCUAGGAGAGCAAACUCCGAACAAUAAACCCGGGCAGGUGGAGGUCGUCAGCCGUGGUAGGCAAUUCACCUAGGAGAGCAAACUCCGAACAAUAAACCCGGGCAGGUGGAGGUCGUCAGCCGUGGUAGGCAGUCUGCCUAGGAGAGCAAACUCUAAAUAAACCCGGGCUUGUGGUGCUCGUUAUACUGUCGUAGACAAUCCACGCGAUGGGAACACCAAAGAAAAGGAAAAUAAAAAGGAACACCAGAAAAAUGGAAAAUACAGAAACGAAACAUCAAGAAAAGAAAUAAAAAGAUCAUCCACCUUUAGGCCCUAACAUCGCCAAAAUUAUGGGUGGGUCUCUUCUGGGGAGAAAGCGGCUCACCCAGACCAAAGAACAUCAACAAAAGGAUGAUAUGAAUAAAUGAACAUAAAAAAAAACAAAGAAAAA